GGAGGAUUACCCAAGCCUGGAUGAAGGGAACGGUCUUGAAAACCGUCAGGCGUGUAAGAGAGUGCGUGGGUUCGAACCCCACAUCCUCCU
rnacentral:tRNA from 1 species